AGUGCUUCUGGAAGGAACCGCGACUGUCAAACAAUGACCCGCUACAUUCAACUGAAGCUAUCUAUUUAAAAAAAAAAAAAAAAAAAAGCGCUUUACUUAAAAACAUUAAAGUUAACAUUCUUGUAAAGACACUGUCAAUUCUUGUACAGAUUUUUUCCAAAGAAUUCCUCUUCAAAAGGCGUGUCUUUCUCACAAGCAUACCCAGCUUGGGCCAGGGCUCCUGGAGUACUAAUUGUAUUCAUUCAUUUUCUCAGCCCAGCAUGGAGCUGUGUGAUUGCUGGGUCCAUAGCAACAGGGGGAGAGAGAGAAAGCUCAUCUUUAUCUGAACCUCGCCAACAGGAAACAGGGCUGAUGGGCGGCUGCUAUGCAAUCCCUUCAUUAAAGGCAUUUGCAUGUUUCAAAUGACAGAAGUCCAGGUUGGGACUAAUUGACUGGCACUCAUUCCCGCAUUAAGCCACACAAGCGUUCAAUGGAUUUAAGAUUAAGCCAGAAAGCCACAGGAUUAUUUGAAAAAGAGAAGAGGCCACAUCCAUUCCCUUAUACAAGAAAACUGAGCUCCAACCGAGCUGGAAAAUCAAACAAUAUGCUCAUUCUAGUCAAAGUGACUGUUAUAGGGGUGAUAUAAUCUCUGAAUGUUAGAACACAGAAAAAAAUAAACAGCAAAGAGGAAAGCCAUGCCUACCCUCAUGACUGACAUCAGAGCAAUACUAAUUCUUUAAUAUGGGCAGUGGGCUUGUAUUAGCUUGCUAUAAACUGGAAUACGUUUGUCUCUCACCUUUAAAAUGUUGACAUUUAGUUUACUUAAUUGGGGUAGAUGUAUGUAACUGACAAACUACAGCUUGAAAGGGCUUUGUAAUGUCAGAGGCUGAAUUCUAAAUAUGUGCAGAGUCAUUUUUCUCAUUCCGAUUAACUUGGUGUCUAUAGAAAGUAUACACCCCCUUGAACUUUUUUCACAUUUUGUUGUGUCAGUGCCUCAGUUUCAUUUAUUUAAAUGAUGAUUUUUUUUCCAAUUAUCUAGACGCCAUACUGCACACUAUUAAUGGGAAAACAGUUUUUAUUGAGAAAAAAUAUAUAUAUUAAAAAUACAAAACUAAAAGAUCAUGAUUGGAUAAGUCU